UUAGGUGCUGCAGUAGGUAAAUCAUGUGCUGCAAGAGAUCGCUAUGGUUCUACAGAAAUGGGUCUGGAUCCUCCACAACGCAGGGAAAAGAGCAAUAGCACCCCAGCAAUGUGAGAACAGAUCGGCAUCACCAAGAAAAUGGAGGAGGAUGAAGAGCUAUAGAGACUACAACUGGACAGACUGCAGAGGAGAGGGGAUAUCAUUGAGUGGGCUGUGUAAUCAAACGGAUGUCUAGGUUCUCAGCAAGUUAUUAACCGAGCCUUGUUUCUAGUGUAUCGUAGAUGAUUGUGUUCAUGGCAAUUCACACAUUAUCGAUGGGGAAGUACAUCACAUACAAAUACAUGUCAUAUUAUCUUGGUAGUUCUAAAGUUAAAUGUUAGAGAAGUCAAUGUUGCUGGCUUCAUAGUUGUCACGAAGAGACCGCACACCAGGCUACUUAUCUGCAAUACCACGUUUGUCAUCCAUCGCUUCUCAUGGUCAUGCGAGGAGGCUUUCUUUUAUGUCUGUCGGCUGCGCGAUUAAGGGACCGCCUCGCAGAACACAAAUACGCUAUCAGAGUGUUGAACCCAGACUACCCACAUUUUAGCGAGUGCCGUAAUAAAAAUGAUUCUGUGUUGCGUGUGAGACCUAUGGAGAGGGGUGGGUCAACAGGCUACAGAGACUAAACCAAAGGGAAUCAUUUUGGAUACAUCACCUUAAUGCUAUGGAGUAUCCAGGUCUAAAUGAAGAUGUUGAUUUGACUUGUUUUUUUGUAAAUGUCUUGCAUGUAAAUGAUGCAUCUUUCUAUACAGUAUUGUUUUGAUUUAUUGUCUGUUGUUAUGGGACCUGCUGAUUUAUGUUCUCUAUUCUGUGGGUGUGAUAUAUAUAUGCACCUGUAGAAUAAUGUGUUGUGCUCACAUGACCUGAUGUCACUAGGUGAGGCUUAUGUCCUCAGCUGUGAAUACUAACCCCUGAUGACGACCUCUGUGUUAGAUAGAGAUAGAGAAACAUUUUGGCUUUUUAAUAUGAAGUAGCCAGUCAUCAGAACAAACUCAUCAGGGUGACUGUUGCAUUAUAUCAUGAGUAAUAUCUAGAGCAAAAGGUAUCUGAAACCUGGAGUUAGACCUGAAUUUGAGUUGGACUGAGCCGUGAAGACAGAAGCACGUUCUCAUACUACAGAUACAUCAUCUUACUGAGCACACACACAGAGAACAGAAGCCUCUUCUCAGAGAAAAGAAACAUGUUAUCGUAGAACAGCACCACAUGCAUGAACAGAUCAGUAUGUUGUUAUCAUGAUCAUCAUGCUUGUUCACAUUGCAUUGUAAAUGCUGCAGCCGCUGCAAAUGGAGCUAGAAUUCUCCAUCACAGGAAUGAUACAGAUUAUGAAGCCUUGUGUGUCAUGUGACUGCAUAUCACCCAUGUGUUGUAUAAACAGUGUAUAUACAUUGUGUAAAAUUGUACAUGUAUAUAGCCAGGCCUGCUGAAUGUUUUAGAAAUGAUUAAUAUAACAUUGUUAAUCAUAAAAAAAGGCCUUAACUCAUCUUUUUAGAUAAGCCUAUGGCUAAAUCUGCUAUUUUAAUGUUUUUUUUCUCUCUGUUUUGCUUUUAUGCUAGUUUUAAAGUCUUUUGUGUUUUUUUAUGUGCAUUGUAGCACUUUGAGGUCAUUGAUUUGAUGUAAAGUGUGUUAUAAAUAAAAUGUAUUAUUAUUAUU